AUUUUGGCCAGGACGGUACCAAACUAUUCAUGUAAAAUGGAACCCAUAUUCAGUAUUACUUCAUGUGAAUAUUACACAGGCAUUGUCGAUUUCGAUGAAGCCAAAGGAGAAGUACGUGAUACGGAAUUACGACAACAACUCUCUCGUUCUUGCAGAACUGAGUGAGACAAGGUCGCCAUGCGCACUCUGGGUGACAAAAGAACAUCGGGAAAGCAUUCCUGAGACGGCAAACCGAACGUUUUAUGACAACUGCCCAAAUCCUGUCUAUGCUCCCUUUUCAGAAGAGUGCAUUGUGAACUAAUAAAAGUGACAUCUUCAAU
rnacentral:lncRNA from 1 species